rnacentral:sRNA from 1 species
GCAGGGCGUGGUGGCGCACACCUGUAAUCCCAGUGGCUCAGGAGGCUGAGGCAGGAGGACUGAGUUCAAAGCCAGCCUCAGUAACUUAGUGAGGCCCUAAGCAACUCAGUGAGACCCUGUCUCUA